rnacentral:rRNA from 1 species
GGCGAACGGGUGAGUAACACGUGGGCGAUCUGCCCUGCACUUCGGGAUAAGCCUGGGAAACUGGGUCUAAUACCGAAUAGGACCACAGAACACAUGUCCUGUGGUGGAAAGCUUUUGCGGUGUGGGAUGGGCCCGCGGCCUAUCAGCUUGUUGGUGGGGUGAUGGCCUACCAAGGCGACGACGGGUAGCCGGCCUGAGAGGGUGUCCGGCCACACUGGGACUGAGAUACGGCCCAGACUCCUACGGGAGGCAGCAGUGGGGAAUAUUGCACAAUGGGCGAAAGCCUGAUGCAGCGACGCCGCGUGGGGGAUGACGGCCUUCGGGUUGUAAACCUCUUUCACCAUCGACGAAGGUCCGGGUUUUCUCGGGCUGACGGUAGGUGGAGAAGAAGCACCGGCCAACUACGUGCCAGCAGCCGCGGUAAUACGUAGGGUGCGAGCGUUGUCCGGAAUUACUGGGCGUAAAGAGCUCGUAGGUGGUUUGUCGCGUUGUUCGUGAAAUCUCACGGCUUAACUGUGAGCGUGCGGGCGAUACGGGCAGACUUGAGUACUGCAGGGGAGACUGGAAUUCCUGGUGUAGCGGUGGAAUGCGCAGAUAUCAGGAGGAACACCGGUGGCGAAGGCGGGUCUCUGGGCAGUAACUGACGCUGAGGAGCGAAAACUGGGGGAGCGAACAGGAUUAGAUACCCUGGUAGUCCACGCCGUAAACGGUGGGUACUAGGUGUGGGUUUCCUUCCUUGGGAUCCGUGCCGUAGCUAACGCAUUAAGUACCCCGCCUGGGGAGUACGGGCGCAAGGUAAAAACUCAAAGAAAUUGACGGGGGCCCGCACAAGGGCGGACAUGUGGAUUAAUUCGAUGCAACGCGAAGAACCUUACUGGGUUUGACAUGCACAGGACGCCGGCAGAGAUGUCGGUUCCCUUGUGGCCUGUGUGCAGGUGGUGCAUGGCUGUCGUCAGCUCGUGUCGUGAGAUGUUGGGUUAAGUCCCGCAACGAGCGCAACCCUUGUCUCAUGUUGCCAGCGGGUAAUGCCGGGGACUCGUGAGAGACUGCCGGGGUCAACUCGGAGGAAGGUGGGGAUGACGUCAAGUCAUCAUGCCCCUUAUGUCCAGGGCUUCACACAUGCUACAAUGGCCGGUACAAAGGGCUGCGAUGCCGCGAGGUUAAGCGAAUCCUUUUAAAGCCGGUCUCAGUUCGGAUCGGGGUCUGCAACUCGACCCCGUGAAGUCGGAGUCGCUAGUAAUCGCAGAUCAGCAACGCUGCGGUGAAU